rnacentral:tRNA from 1 species
GGGGUUGUGGCUCAGUGGUAGAGCACUUGCCUAGAAUGCAGGAGGCACUGAGUUCGAUUCUCAGCACCACA